rnacentral:rRNA from 1 species
UACGUAGGGGGCGAGCGUUGUCCGGAGUGACUGGGCGUAAAGCGCGCGCAGGCGGCCAUCCGCGCCGGUCGUGAAAGCCCCCGGCUCAACCGGGGCACGUCGAUCGGGACGGGGUGGCUGGAGGGUGUCAGAGGGGGGUGGAACGCCGCGUGGAGCAGUGAAAUGCGUAGAGAUGCGGCAGAACACCGGAGGCGAAGGCGGCCCCCUGGGGCACAACUGACGCUGAGGCGCGAAGGCGCGGGGAGCGAACGGG